CCUCUGGGAAAUUCCCCCGGUUCCGGCUUCCGGCCGGGCUCGCGGCGAGGGCGACCGGAAGGCGUGGGGUGCCGCGUCCCCCAGCGCCGCGCUCUCGUUCGCCGUGGUUGGGGCCCGGCGGAGCGCGCUGGCGUGCUGAAGGGGAACGUGCGCCGGUUUCUACCGAUUAGUACAGACCUGACUGUAGACACGCACGCCAUGCAGGCAUGACCAUUUCAUACUUCUUACCACCUUGACCUGCACAGCUGCUCUUCCAAGGGGACCUCAUGGCAUGAUGCUGGCAACAGAAGAGCUCCCUCCUCCCCUCUUGAAAGGUGUCCUUUUCCUGCAGUUGGCCAACAGUGCUCUUGUAAUCACGACAGGUGAAGUUUGAUGCACAGAUUUCUGCACCGUGACCCUUACUUAUAAGGGCAGAAGAGCAAACUGAGCCUGCUCUAGCCCACCCGAGAUCUAGGAAACCACUGAGUGGCAGUCGGACCAUUCUCUUGCUUUCUCUGAAUUACUCCAGAAUUGGAAAGGAGCCACACACCGAAACGCGAAGUCACAGCACGUGAAGAUCUUAAGGUUUUAUUUUCGGUUGGGUAACAAGCCAAUAAACUGGCCUCUUUCUUCCCGCCCUUCCUUUCCGUUCCCCAAGCUCCGCAGUCAUACCUGCCAGCCUUUCACCGCCACACCCCCAGCUCCGACUCUAAGCUGGAGAUCACGUUAGGCUGAUCUCCCAGAACCGGGAGAAACCCCCGACUCUCACUUCAUGCUGCAACAGUUGGAAAAUUACAAGAAUACCGGCUCUCUCCCCAGGGCGCAUAUGCGGAAGUCGCCGUCCACGGAGCGUUCCCAGGCUCCCCCGGGGUGCAAGCUCCCCACCAAGACUACAUUUCCCAUAAGCCCCGCGAAGCUCGUUCCCGAAGUUGGCUUCUUUAGAGGGAAAAGAUUCCGGGUAUGGCAGGGCGGCUUGGAGAGACAUGCUCACUUAUGAAGGGGGGAUGUAUACAUCAUUUUCGUUUAAAAUGAUAGACGUAAAAAGUUUUAAAUACUGGAAAAUCUAUAUCAGCCGUAUACUAAAAGAAUAAUUUGCCCUUACUCAGUUCAGUUUCUUCUAGCAACACACUAGCUUAGGUCCGGGAGUUGAAGACGACCCAACAAAGACUUAAAGGGAAUAAUCCGUGAGGCAGGCAGAAAAGUAGGAGGGUUUGGAUAUGCAAAAGCAAGGGAAGAGAAUGUUUCAAGAAGGAGGGAAUGGGCGUUAAAUGCUGCUGGUAGGUCAAGUAGGAUUAGAACAAAUAAUUGACCAUUGGAUUGAGCAGUGUGCAGGCUGCUGAAACAUGCCCUUUUCGUGUAGCGGUGGAAGUUUGAUAAAGUCUGAUGAGAGUUAGGUAAGAGUGGAAUGAAACAAUGGGAGAAAGCAAGUACAUAUAGAUGUAUUUGUACAGUUGUGUUUUUUUUUAAGAUCAGUAGAAAAAUAAGGCUGUCUAUUGCAUAUGGAUUUGGGGUCCAGAAUUUUUUUUAACAUGGAAGAAAUUAGUGUUUCUAUCUUAAUUAAAAUGAUGGCAUUCCCAUGUGGAUCAGUAGGUUAAGAACCUGACAUAGUGUCCAUGAGGAUGCAGGUUGGAUCCCUGGCCUCACUAAGCUGCAACAUAGGUUGCAGAUGUGGCUCAGAUCUGGUGUUUCUGUGGCUGUGGUGUAGGCCUCAAAGUUGUAGCUCAGAAACUUCCAUAUGACCCAGAAACUUCCAUAUGCCACAGGAGUAGCCUGUAAAAAGCCAAAAAAAAAAAAAAAGAAAAGAAAAGAAAAAAGACACAGUGGAGAUGGGGAAAUCAACAAUACAGGAGAGACAGGCAAGUUACAGGAAAUUGGGGGUGGAAUCCAGUACACAACUGGGCCAUCAGUUGCUAAGCAAGAGCACUGGCAAUUCAUUCAUUGAAAUAAAAGCUGAGGAAGCGUCUUUAAGGACAGCUGCAGAUAGUGAAUAGAUCUGGUGGUAGGAGAAUGAGGAUGUCCUAUCCUUAGCGCUUCUAUUUUCUCAGUAAAAUAGGAAGCUCAAAGUGAUGAGAGGGAGAAGGUAUGAGAGGUUUGAGGAAAGAAAAGAAACACUGUAUCACCUUGAUUCUAAUACUUUUUUUCAUGUUUCAACACCUGCGAAAUUUCUCUCACACAAAUGAUGGCAUGCCAUAGUUUAAUUGGCAGCAUUUUUUUCUUUCUUAGUAAUGUGUAAAAUAAUGAUGUCUUAUAAUUGGCAUCGAAGAUGAUAAUGUUAUUUAGGAAUGUGGGAGAGUGAAUGGAUUAGGAGAUAUAGCGCUAGUGCCUGACAGCACUAAGAGCCCACUUGAUAUUAGUAGCCCUUUACUGGCAUUUUCAAUGUCAUAAAGACAUUUUUAUAUCUCAUUAAAAAAUCAUUUAUUGACCUGUAGCUCACUUGAUCAAUUGCUCCAUUUCCUAGCUUUCUUUCAUAGAAAAAUUUCUCUAAAGAGCCUCUUCUUGGGAGUUCCCACUGUGGCGCGGUGGGUUAAGAAGCUGACUGCAGGGGCUCAGGUCAAUGCAGAGGUUCAGGUUCUAUCCCUGACCAGAGAACCCCAUAUGCCCUGGAUGAAGCCAUAAAAUAAAAAUUUUUAAAAAAGAA